UACGAAGGUCCCAAGCGUUGUUCGGAAUAACUGGGCGUAAAGCGUGUGUAGGCUGCGCGGAAAGUCAAAUGUGAAAGCCCAGGGCUUAACCCUGGAACUGCAUUCGAUACUCCCGUGCUAGAGUAAUGGAGAGGUAAGUGGAAUUCUCGGUGUAGCAGUGAAAUGCGUAGAUAUCGAGAGGAACAUCAAUGGCGAAGGCAACUUACUGGACAUUUACUGACGCUCAGACACGAAGGCUAGGGGAGCGAAA
rnacentral:rRNA from 1 species